GAUGAAUGCUGGCUACAGGCUUAACACAUGCAAGUCGAGGGGAAACGACGGGGAAGCUUGCUUCCCCGGGCGUCGACCGGCGCACGGGUGAGUAACGCGUAUCCAACCUGCCUCUGACUGAGGGAUAACCCGUCGAAAGUCGGCCUAAUACCUCAUGGUAUCGUCUGCGGGCAUCCAACGACGAUUAAAGAUUUCAUCGGUCAGGGAUGGGGAUGCGUCUGAUUAGCUUGUUGGCGGGGUAACGGCCCACCAAGGCUACGAUCAGUAGGGGUUCUGAGAGGAAGGUCCCCCACAUUGGAACUGAGACACGGUCCAAACUCCUACGGGAGGCAGCAGUGAGGAAUAUUGGUCAAUGGGCGAGAGCCUGAACCAGCCAAGUAGCGUGCAGGAAGACGGCCCUAUGGGUUGUAAACUGCUUUUAUGCGGGGAUAAAGUGAGGGACGUGUCCCUCAUUGCAGGUACCGCAUGAAUAAGGACCGGCUAAUUCCGUG
rnacentral:rRNA from 1 species